rnacentral:tRNA from 2 species
GUUUAUCUUGGUGUAAAAGCACGUAAAAUUUUGAUUUUUAAAGUAAUAUUAGAUAAAUA